rnacentral:misc_RNA from 1 species
AGUCGUAACAAGGUAUCCGUAGGUGAACCUGCGGAUGGAUCAUUACCAAAGACCCGUUUCGAGUCUUGUGAACUGUUUUCCGGUGGUCAGUGUGUGUGUGUGUGUGUGUUUUCGCGUUUUUAAAUUUUUUAAAUUUCGCGUUUGACUUGCGCGCGCGCGCGCUGGCUUCACCAACCAAACCAAACGUCUAAACCCUUUAACCAGAGUCACACUUUAGCUUAAAACUAAAGACAACUUUUAGCAACGGAUCUCUUGGCUCUC